UACGUAGGGACCAAGCGUUGUUCGGAUUUACUGGGCGUAAAGGGCGCGUAGGCGGCAUGACAAGUCACUUGUGAAAUCUCCGGGCUUAACUCGGAACGGUCAAGUGAUACAGUCGCGCUAGAGUGCGGAAGGGGCAAUCAGAAUUCUUGGUGUAGCGGUGAAAUGCGUAGAUAUCAAGAGGAAUACCUGAGGUGAAGACGGGUUGCUAGGCCGACACUGACGCUGAAGCGCGAAAGCCAGGGGAGCAAACGGG
rnacentral:rRNA from 1 species